rnacentral:rRNA from 1 species
UCAUGGGUGCUAGGGCGUUGCUCGGUGCCUCGUGUGCCGGCUCGCCCCUCUCCCAGGCAGGGGAGCGCCCACUUGUGGGCUGUUUCCCGGCUAACCAACGAACCCCGGCGCGUAAAUGCGUCAAGGAAUAUAAACUUUAUGUGUGUGCUCUCCUAUCGCCCGGUUAGCCGGGCGUUGGAAUGGUGCCAUGUCUUAACAAUAAACGACUCUCGGCAACGGAUAUCUCGGCUCUCGCAUCGAUGAAGAACGUAGCGAAAUGCGAUACUUGGUGUGAAUUGCAGAAUCCCGUGAACCAUCGAGUUUUUGAACGCAAGUUGCGCCCGAAGCUUCCGGCUGAGGGCACGUCUGCCUGGGCGUCACGCAUCGCGUCUCCCCCACAUUCCACCUUGGUGGAGGGGAAGGAGGAUGGUUUCCCGCGACUCACCGGUCGCGGCUGGCCUAAAAUUGGAGCCCACGGCAUCGGGAUGCCGCGGCGAUAGGUGGUGAACAAGGCCUCGGCCAAGCAAGCAACCCGUCGCGCAUGCCGUGCCAAUGCGGGCUCGAAGGACCCUUUGUCGUUGUCUUUGAGGCAACCAAACCGUUGCGACCCCAGGUCAGGCGGGGCUACCCGCUGAAUUUAAGCAUAUCAAUAAGCGGA